GUUGGCCAAAGGUGUCAGCAAUACAACAAAGGCUUUGCAAUUAUAAGCUAUUCCUUAAGCCACAGAAAGAAAUGAAGAAAGGAAGAGGGGAAGACAGAAAGAAAACAAUUAUCACUUGGUUUAGUGACCACGUGUGUUGAGGACAGGAAUAGAAAAAAGAAGGUACAUGUCUAAGAAGGAUUUAAAAAUGUCAAGGAAAGAACAAUGAGAUGAGAAAGAUUAAAGUCAGAGGGAGAAGCCAUGACCUUGAGCAAGGAUGCGCUUUUCAGCCAGGACACUUAACAAAGAGGGCUGACAGCUGUCAGCACUUCCAGAAGCUGGUAAAAUAAGACCUUCAUUCUUAAAGGGACAUCUUGGCAGAAUACCAAUGAC
rnacentral:lncRNA from 10 species